rnacentral:misc_RNA from 1 species
GAUGAAGAACGUAGCGAAAUGCGAUAAGUAAUGUGAAUUGCAGAAUUCCGUGAAUCAUCGAAUGUUUGAACGCACAUUGCGCCCGCUGGUACUCCGGCGGGCACGCCUGUCCGAGCGUCAUUUCAACCCUCAAGCCCUCCUUCGGGAUGGGCCUGGUGUUGGGGCUCGGCCGCCAUCUCCGGCGGCCGUCCCCUAAAUACAGUGGCGGUCACGUCGCGACUCCUUUGCGUAGUAGAAACACCUCGCUCCGGAUAGCAACGCGGUCCACGCCGUAAAAUCCCCAAUUUUCAAUGGUUGACCUCGGAUCAGGUGGGAAUACCCGCUGAACUUAAGCAUAUCAAUAAGCGGAGGA